UCAGUGCAAGUGAAAUUAAGAAACAAUGGAUAUAGAAAAUGAGCAGAUACUGAACGUAAACCCUACAGAUCCUGAUAAUUUGAGUGACUCUCUGUUUCCUGGUGAUGAAGAACAUACUGGGACUGAGGAAAUAAAGAAUGAAAUAAAUGGAAAUUGGAUUUCAGCAUCCUUCAUUAAUGAAGCUUGAAUUAAUGCCAAGGCAAAAAGGCGACUACGGAAAAACUCAUCCCGAGACAGUGGCAGAGGAGAUUCAGUUAGUGAUAAGGGAAGUGAAGCCCUUACAAGUGGAAGUGAAGCCUUACAACUGUGCCAACCAGCCCAAAGGGAAGGUUGCUAGAUAGGCAAUCCAGAUCUGGGAAAGGUGGUGCAGGAGGUAAAGGUGUUUGGGCUACACCUGGGCAGGUGUAUGAUGUAGAGGACGUAGAUGCGAAAGAUCUGAACUAUGAUGAUGACCAGGAGAACUGUGUUUAUGAAACUGUAGUUUUGCCUUUGGAUGAAAGAACAUUUGAGAAGACUUUAACACCAAUCAUGCAGGAAUAUUUUGAGCAUGGAGAUACUAAUGAAGUUGCAGAAAUCCUGAGAGAUUUAAAUCUUGGUGAAAUGAAAAGCGGACUACCAGUGUUGGCAGUGUCCUUAGCAUGGGAGGGGAAGGCUAGUCAUAGAGAAAUGACAUCUCAGCUUCUUUCUGACCUUUGUGGGACAGUAAUGAGCACAAAUGAUGUGGAAAAAUCAUUUGAUAAAUUGUUGAAAGAUCUACCUGAGUUGGCAUUGGGUACUCCUAGAGCACCACAGCUGGUGGGCCAGUUUAUUGCUUUGAGCUGUUGGAGAUGGAAUUUUAUGUAACACCUAUAUCGAUAGUUACAAGGGAACAGUAGACUGUGUACAGGCUAGAGCUGCUCUGGAUAAAGCUACCGUGCUCCUGAGUAUGGCUAAAGGUGGAAAGCGUAAAGAUAGUGUAUGGGGCUCUGGAGGCGGGCAGCAACCUGUCAAUCACCUUGUUAAAGAGAUUGAUGUGCUGUUGAAAGAGAAUUUACUGUCUGGAGACAUACCUGAAGCUGAACAUUGCCUUACGGAACUGGAAGUACCUCAUUUUCACCAUGAGCUUGUAUAUGAAGCUAUUGUAAUGGUUUUAGAGUCAACUGGAGAAAAUACAUUUAAGGUGAUUUUGGAUUUAUUAAAAUCCCUUUGGAAGUCUUCUACCAUUACUGUAGACCAAAUGAAAAGAGGUUAUGAGAGAAUUUAUAAUGAAAUUCCAGACAUUAAUCUGGAUGUCCCACAUUCAUACUCUGUGCUUGAGCGAUUUGUAGAAGAAUUCAUUCUAGGGGAGCUCAGCUGA